GACGAACGCUGGCGGCGUGCUUAACACAUGCAAGUCGAACGGAAAGGCCCCCUUUGGGGUACUCGAGUGGCGAACGGGUGAGUAACACGUGCGUAACCUGCCCUUGACUUCGGGAUAAACUCCGGAAAAUGGGGGUAAUACCGGAUAGGAAUCCUUGCCGCAUGGUGGGGGUUGGAAAGGUUCGGCGGUUUUGGAUGGACUCACGGCUUAUCAGCUUGUUGGUGGGGUAGUGGCUUACCAAGGCUUUGACGGGUAGCCGGCCUGAGAGGGCGACCGGCCACAUUGGGACUGAGAUACGGCCCAGACUCCUACGGGAGGCAGCAGUGGGGAAUAUUGCACAAUGGGCGGAAGCCUGAUGCAGCAACGCCGCGUGCGGGAUGACGGCCUUCGGGUUGUAAACCGCUUUCAGCAGGGGCGAAGCUUGUGGUGACGGUACCUGCAGAAGAAGCACCGGCUAACUACGUG
rnacentral:rRNA from 1 species